CGGCGCACGGGUGAGUAACGCGUAUGCAACCUACCCAUUGCUGGAGCAUAGGCCGAAGAAAUUCGGAUUAAUACUCCAUAAUAUCAUUAGAUCACAUGUUCUGAUGAUUAAAGUUCCGGCGGCAAUGGAUGGGCAUGCGUGACAUUAGUUUGUUGGUGAGGUAACGGCUCACCAAGACUAUGAUGUCUAGGGGGUCUUAAAGGAUGAUCCCCCACACUGGUACUGAGACACGGACCAGACUCCUACGGGAGGCAGCAGUGAGGAAUAUUGGUCAAUGGGCGAAAGCCUGAACCAGCCAAUCCGCGUGCAGGAUGACGGCCCUAUGGGUUGUAAACUGCUUUUAUACGGGAAGAACUCCCUGACGUGUCAGGGGCUGACGGUACCGUAUGAAUAAGCAUCGGCUAACUCCGUGCCAGCAGCCGCGGUAAUACGGAGGAUGCAAGCGUUAUCCGGAUUUAUUAGGUUUAAAGGGUGCGUAGGCGGAAUAGUCAGUCAGUGGUGAAAUCCUACAGCUUAACUGUAGAACUGCCAUUGAUACUGCUAUUCUUGAGUAUAGUUGAGGUAGGCGGAAUGUGUAGUGUAGCGGUGAAAUGCUUAGAUAUUACACAGAACACCGAUUGCGAAGGCAGCUUACUAAACUGUCACUGACGCUGAGGC
rnacentral:rRNA from 1 species